rnacentral:rRNA from 1 species
AUUGAACGCUGGCGGCAUGCCUUACACAUGCAAGUCGAACGGUAACAGGUCUUCGGAUGCUGACGAGUGGCGAACGGGUGAGUAAUACAUCGGAACGUGCCUAGUAGUGGGGGAUAACUACUCGAAAGAGUGGCUAAUACCGCAUGAGAUCUACGGAUGAAAGCAGGGGAUCGCAAGACCUUGUGCUACUAGAGCGGCCGAUGGCAGAUUAGGUAGUUGGUGGGAUAAAAGCUUACCAAGCCGACGAUCUGUAGCUGGUCUGAGAGGACGAUCAGCAACACUGGGACUGAGACACGGCCCAGACUCCGACGGGAGGCAGCAGUGGGGAAUUUUGGACAAUGGGCGAAAGCCUGAUCCAGCAAUGCCGCGGGCAGGAUGAAGGCCUUCGGGUUGUAAACUGCUUUUGUACGGAACGAAAAGCCCUGGGUUAAUACCCUGGGGUCAUGACGGUACCGUAAGAAUAAGCACCGGCUAACUACGU